UAAAAACAAAAUCCAAUUAAGGGAAAGGGGACGCUGUUGCCUGUAAUUUGAAUUACUCAAUUUACACGUGGCGCUUUAUAUCAACAAAAUUAUGCCGAAAUGCGCACAGGGGGCGCUAUUGAAAGGAGUCGAAGUUUUUGCAAAGUACAAAUGAAAGUCGUGUAAAUACUUCGAUCAACAAUAAACAAAUAAUCAGAAAUAGAACUCAAAGAAAUAGUCAGAAUAUUCUGGCCUGGGAACCAGACUACCACGAUGUACGUGCAAACACGCCGCUGUACUCUGGCUGGGACUUCACGCAGUCUGGCCUUUUUCUGUACCUCCGUCAGGCCGCCGCCGAGGACAUAUUUACUUUGUGCUUCAAACUUCUACUUCUCUGCAGCUAGCUACAUCUUUACAUCCUUUUCAGCAACUUACUGAGUGCUGGGUGAGUCUUCUGCACCAGCUUGGCGAGUGUAAAUUGUUGUGAGCUACAAUUUACAAAAACUAGUCUCGAAAGGAUUAACUCCGGGUAAAGAGUGGCCUCACCACCGACCACCGAAUCGGCACGGCUUCCUCCCGGGACAGCAGGCCCAGCGGAGUCUGCAUGACGAGCCUGCUGAGACCGCACUUCAAUUCAGCAAAUCAAGUGAUGCACGGGAAAACCAAUGAACUGAGUUUUGACUGGUCACUUGAACUGGAACUUAGUUGCCCCAUGAGUUUGCUUGCCACGGGUUCAUUUCAUCAUGAACUUGAAUUUAAAUGAACUGCAAAGAUCGAGUUUAGACUUUUGUGACAAUUUGGAGGUUUGCUGCUUGACUUGAGAAAAAUCUGCAUGCAGUCUACAUGUGAAUAAAAAUAUAGGUGCUAUAUGAAAUGUCAGUGGCAGUCAACUGUGAGGAAGCCAAGAAACCUGUCUGC